UGUACUUAUUGGUUUAGAAAGGAUUGUUGAAGAAGAAUAGAAGAUAACAACAAUGAUUUGUAAUCAAAAGUUUAUUACGGUAGCCUUUGUUGUAGUUCUUCUAUUCUCAACAGGUACGGCACUUUCAUAUACAACAAUGAAAUGUUUUGGCCUAUGUACGGAAUACCCUAACUGUCUAGCCUUUUGCACUGGUCAAGGUUAUGCGACAGGAAGAUGUAUUAUUGAUGCUUAUCAAUUAGCUUGUUGUUGUUUCGAUGUUGUUGCUGAAAAACUUGGAAGUUAGAACUUUUCUUCUUGUUGGAAGAAAAUAUUAUGUUUUAUAAAUAUAAAUUAAUAAGAAAUAAAGAAUCAAUGUUAUCAUAAAUAUAAAUUAAUAAGAAAUAAAGAAUCAAUGUUAUCAUAAA